UCAAAAAGAGAAGAAUGACCGCCUCUCUCCCUCUCUAUACUCUCUACUUCAUCUUCUCAAAAGAGAAGAGAAGACAAGGCACCUACACGCCCUAUUCUCCAUCUUCACCAUACCCACGCUCCUUCCUCUCCUAUGGCCCUUUAUCAGAAAAGAUGAAGAUCCCCUUCCCCACCUCUUUCUUCUUUAUUCAAUUUUCAGAAAAUCCGCUGAAUUGUUUGGAAACUUUUGGCUCAAAUCAAGAAAAGGUGAGAUUAGUGGAAUCUUUUCCCCACCUCCUUCCGGUUUUUCCUCAAAAAGGGGUUUGAUUUUUGUUCAAAUCCAGAUUUUUUAAAUUCGGAUUUGCCUAUAAAUAACAAGGCUUUUCACCUGUUCAAAAGAGGGGAAGAAGAACAGAGAUCCAAGAGAAAAAAUCAACAUCUAAGAAUCCAAUUGAAACUUCAAAAAAACUGUCUUUUAUUUUUUGCUUUGAAUUCAAGUUCGGAAAGGGUUUCGAAGUGAAAUUCUUGGCGAAAAGUCCCUUAGUUUGCUGCUCUACACAAGGAACCGGCGUUGCUCCACAUUUACCUCCUUGUGACUAGUUUAAUUGUUGAAGGCUACUACCUUGGAUCAUGCCUCAUAGAAGAGCUCCAUUGAGAUGGAAUGUGAAUCAAAAUAAGGAAUAACAAAAACCUCAAGCUAUAGUUGAUCCUUUGGCCGAGCAAGUCACUCAAGUCGAAUUUAGGGUUACUUCCAAGUGUUGUCCCAAUCUAUAGAUUAUAGCUCUUGUGAACUCAAAUGUGGGUAUAUGGAAACAAGAAGGGAUCGUUACUAAACAAGGAUGAAUCCUUUGGAAUAUCAUGGUUCAAAGGUGGUCAAGCAUCUACAAGAGUUUGUUAAGGGGAUUUAAAAGAUCGUGGAUAUUAUGUGUAUGACUCUUGUUGAAAAGGCAGACUUGGCCACUUACCAAUUGAAAUAGGUUGAUCAAGUGUGACUUAGCCAUGGGAAGGAAGAGAGGGCUAUUGAUGCAGGUCCCUUGGAUUAGGACAUGUUUAAGUAGCUUUUCUAGAUCAGUUUUUCCCUCUUGAGAUGUGAGAGUCUAAAUUCUAAGAGUUCAUAAACCUAAAACAAGGUAAUAUGAGUUUGAAGGAAUACUCUUUGAAGUUAACUCAAAUCUCCUAGUAUGCUCUGGGAAUGGUAGCCAACUCUAACACUCGAAUGAGAAAGUUUGUUUUCGGUGUUUUUGAGAGAAUUGUGAAGGAAUGUAGAACCACUAUGUUGAUUAAGGAGAUUGAAAUCUUGAGGUUGAUGACUGUUGCUCAAAAUAUUGAUGUGGAAAAGCUUAACGAGAAAGCUAGGGAGAUAAAAAGGGUGCAAAUAGAUAGUUGUGAUUACUCUCAUCAGAAAUCUGGUGGUGGUGGUCAUUUUCAUUUUAGAUAAAAAUUUCUCGACAUGACUUUAUCUAGUGCUCUGAUUUAGAAGUUCAACGAAGCUAGUAUGCCUAACCCUGAGCCUCAAGGGAGGGCUCCUAGUGGUCUGAUUUUCCCUGCAUGUUGCAGAUGUGGGAAGAACUAUCUGAGAGAUUGGUUAGCUGGUUCAGGUUCAUGGUUUCAUUGUAGUAAUACAUUCCAUAGAUUAAGGGAUUGCCUAUAUGCCUAUAACAAGGUUAGAUACAUCAGCAAACUUAUCCUAGUACUUCUCAAGUUGCCCAACUCAGUAGGGUACUUCAUCUGAUUCUGGUGGUAGAUAACUCCAAGGCAGGUUCUAUGCUCAUAAUACUUGACAUGAUUAGGAGGAUUCUCUUGAUGUGGUAAAUGGUAUUUUCCUGAUCCAAGCUAGGCCCUAGGAAUAACAUGGCGAUCGAAACCCCAAUAGAGUCCAAUCAAGCCUCUUAGCAUAUUAUUCAUGAACAUAGAUAAGGUAAAUGAGAAAAUAAUCUAAUCAUAAAAGUAUAAGUAAUGACUCAAUAGGAAUAUCUCAAUAAAGGAGAAAAGAGAUCAAAAGAUGCGACAACAUAUACUCUAUGAACAUCUAACAUGCCUCUACUAAUUUGAUGGGGGCGUAAGACAAGCUCCUAACUCAUCCAUGACAACAUAAGAGAGUAAUAUGACAUAGUAAAAUAACAUAAUGAAAAUAAAGUGUCACAUCCUUGGAACAUGAGGACUCAAAAUCAAUACAACAAUCACAAGCUCUACCAUGAAUAGGAGGAUGGGUUAGAUCGUUGGACCCCACAUUAUGAUAUAAUAUAGGUAAAAGUAUGUGUUAGUACAUGAAAUACACUAAGUAUGUGAGAAGUAUACAUGAACAAUAAAUAUAGGUCAUAAUCAAGAUGAAUCAUGGGCUGAAAGACCAAUAUCUUAAAACAUGAGUAAAGGCAUGAAAAUAAUAAAACAUCAAAACUCAUUGGUCAAUGCAUCAAAACAUCUUUAUCAUAAGAACUUAAUAGAUUUUCUUUAACUGGUGUAGGAUAGGACCUUUAACCAACAUAUAAGACCAUGCGAGCUACAAUAUGGAAUCUAAUGAACCCCAUAUCGAAAGGAGAAGGCUACCUUGCCAGGGUAGACUUCUUGAUGGUACUCUCUCAUUAGCUGUGCUAUAUAUAGAUCCACUAGUUUUGCCAUAUUGUCAUAUUUGAACCUAUGUAGGCAAUGUAGUUUGGGACUUAAGGUUUCUACAAGGAUUCCCUUGGGUAGCUACAAUGGUAUAUCAGACCGAACCCCACCUUAAAUUCCUCUCAGUGCUUAGUCAUUAUCCCAAUAGAAUUUUUAUGAAAACAUUAUCAUUAACAUCAUUAGGAGAGAUAAUAAUACAUAUCAAUCCAUAUUAUAAAGAUAC